AGCUUGUUGGUGAGGUAACGGCUCACCAAGGCUGUGAUGGGUAGCCGUGCUGAGAGGUUGUUCGGCCACACUGGGACUGAGACACUGCCCAGACUCCUACGGGAGGCUGCAGUCGAGGAUCUUUGUCAAUGGGCGCAAGCCUGAACAAGCGACGCCGCGUGAGCGAUGAAGGCCUUCGGGUCGUAAAGCUCUUUCAGCAGGGAAGAAUCAAUUGACGGUACCUGCAGAAGAAGCCCCGGCUAAUUACGUGCCAGCAGCCGCGGUAAUACGUAAGGGGCAAGCGUUGUUCGGAUUUACUGGGCGUAAAGGGUGCCUAGGCGGCAUAUUAAGUCGGAAGUGAAAUCCCCCGGUCCAACUGGGGAACUGCUUUCGAAACUGAUGUGCUUGAGUACGGGAGAGGAGAGCGGAAUUCUCGGUGUAGCGGUGGAAUGCGCAGAUAUCGAGAAGAACACUAGUGGCGAAGGCGGCUCUCUGGAACGAUACUGACGCUGAAGCACGAAAGCCAGGGGAGCAAACGGGAUUAGAUACCCCGGUAGUCCUGGCCCUAAACUAUGUACACUUGGUGUAGGAGGUAUCGACCCCUCCUGUGCCGAAGCUAACGCAUUAAGUGUACCGCCUGGGGAGUACAGUCGCAAGUCUGAAACUCAAAGGAAUUGACGGGGGCCCGCACAAGCGGUGGAGCAUGUGGUUCAAUUCGAUGCAACGCGAAGAACCUUACCAGGGCUUGACAUGCAGUUGCUAAUCCCGGGAAACCGGGACUCCUUCGAGGGUACUGCACAGGUGCUGCAUGGCUGUCGUCAGCUCGUGUCGUGAGAUGUUGGGUUAAGUCCCGCAACGAGCGCAACCCUUGUUGUUAGUUGCCAGCACGAAAGGUGGGCUCUCUAACAAGACUGCCGGUGUUAAACCGGAGGAAGGUGGGGAUGACGUCAAGUCAGCAUGGCCCUUACGUCCUGGGCGACACACGUGCUACAAUGGCCGGUACAGAGGGUUGCCAAACCGUGAGGUGGAGCCAAUCCCAGAAAGCCGGUCUCAGUUCGGAUUGGAGUCUGCAACUCGACUCCAUGAAGCUGGAAUCGCUAGUAAUGGCGUAUCAGCCACGACGCCGUGAAUACGUUCCCGGGCCUUGUACACACCGCCCGUCACAUCAUGAAAGCCUACUGUACCCGAAGUCGCUGGUCCAACCCGCAAGGGCGGAAGGUGCCUAAGGUAUGGUCGGUGAUUGGGAUGAAGUCGUAACAAGGUAGCCGUACCGGAAGGUGCGGCUG
rnacentral:rRNA from 1 species